CUCAUGUUGGGUCACAUGUAGCUCUAAAAUGUGCUUAAGCUUGUCAACAAAAUUUACAGGAAUGUUGAUCAGCAUGUAAAGUUGUACACCUGGUCCCGUGUUCACUAAGAAAAGAUCAGGAUCAAGUGAUCCUGAUUUUAUUUUCAUUAUUAUCCCCCGCCGCCUUUUCGGUAUAGUAAUAGUCUCCGUCUGUCCGUCUGACCCGUCCUUCCGUCCGACAUUUUUGUCCGGAGCAUAUCUCUAAAAGUAUUUUAGUUUUCAACUUGAAACUUCAUAGGUGGAUAGACCUCAUUGAGGAGGAGUGCAGUGCACAAGAAUGAUAACUCUACCCUGCAUAAUUUUUGAGUUAUUGCCCUUUGUUAUUUUUCAAAAUUGAUUUUUGUCCAGAGCAUAACUCAAAAAGCCUAUGAGAUAUCAACAUGAAACUUCAUAGGUGCAUAGAUCUCACUCAGGAGGUGUGCAGUGCACAAGAAUGAUAACUCUACCUUUCAUAAUUUUUGAGUUAUUGCCCUUUGUUAUUUUUCAUACUUAAUUUUUCACCUGAGUGGAGCAUAACUCAAAAAGUGUUUGAGAUGUCAACAUGAAAUGUCAUAGGUGGAUAGAUCUUAUUGAGGAGGAAUGCUGUGCACAAGAAUGAUAACUCUUCCCUAUACAAUUUUUUAGUUAUUGCCCUUUGUUCUUUUUCAUACUAUUUUGUCCGGAGCUUAUCUCAAAAAGUAUUUGAGGUAUCAACUUGAAACUUCAUAGGUGGAUAGAUUUUACUGAGGAGGGAUGCAGCACACAAGAAUGAUAACCUACCCUGCAUUAUUUUUCAGUUAUUGCCCUUUGUUAUUUUCAGCCAUCAGUAUUCACAUAGGUUUCAAAUCUGUACAUGUAAUCACUAUAGCCAUCAGUUUUCAUUACCAAAAGACCUCUUAAAAUGGAAUUAUUCUGCUCUACUACAUAUACAUUCUUCCAAUGAGCAAACACAUUUGGCAGGGGAUGGCCAUGUUGACAUGGCUCUUGUUUUAUGUUACUAUUUAAUUAAUAGUGUUUUGCUAGAAUUGAAUGGUAAAUAUGCAAAAUGUAAAAAAUUGUUGAUUUGCAAAGAAGGAACAACUUUUUUGGGAUAAAAUCGACAAAUUACAAAACAAAUACAUAAAUAUACGGAUCAAAAUAAGGAUCAAUUUUAGGAUCAGGAUUAAUAUUUGGAUCAACUGUAAAAUGCCCGUAUCUUGCAAAAAUAACAACAAAUUUAUUCUAAAAUUUCAUAAACUUGCUAUUGCAAGUCCAGUUUUAUCAAAUUAAGAUUAGAUAUUUAAUCUAUGUGGAUAAACAAUGAAGAAUAUUAGAGUUUUUAAAUUUGAUCCUGAUCUUGAUCCUUAAUUUUUUGUGAACACAGGCCCUGGGGUUUUAUUUGUGGAUUAAUUUAGUUUUGUCAGAGUUAUUGUCCUUGAGUUACUGUUAUUAUACCCCCAAAAACGAAGUUUGGGGGGGUAUAUAGGAGUCACCCGGUGGUCGGUUAGGCGGUCGGUUGGUCAGUCGGUCAGUCCAGCGGUCCGUUGCAUUUUCCUUGUCCGGAGCAUAACUUGAAGACUAAUGGUUGGAAUUCAAUAUAACUUCAUACAAUGGUCAAGCACAUUGAGAGGAAGUGGAGUGCACAAGAACCAUAACUCCAUCUUGACUAAUUACAGAGUUAUUGCCCUUUGUUACUUUUCCUUGUCGGGAUCAUAACUUGAAAACUACUGGUUGAAACUCGAAACAACUUCAUACAAUUGUCAAGCACAAUAAGGGGAAGUGCAGUGCACAAGAACCAUAACUCUAUCUAAAGUAAUUACAGAGUUAUUGCCCUUUGUUAUUUUUCCAUUGCUUUCUUUUGUCCGGACUAUAACUUGAAGACUAAUGGUUGGAAUUGAAUAUAACUUCAUACAAUGGUCAAGCACAUUGAGAGGAAGUGCAGUGCACAAGAACCAUAACUCCAUUUGACUAAUUACAGAGUAACUGCCCUUUGUUACUUUUCCUU